GAGAGCUUUCUUGUUUUCCUGAAGAUUUCUAUGCUUCAAUACUUUUCCUUUUCUCAAGGUCCCAUCAGUUGUGGCCUGCAGUAGAUGAUGACUUCAUAGAGAACUCAGAUAUUAGAAGCACAGAGGGAGUCCAGACCCCAGGCCCAAGUUCACAGAAGCAAUGGAGCUGCCAGACCUGAAAGCACACAGCCUAGAAUGAGAGGCAGUUUGGCAAAGGUUAGGAUGGAUGGAGAACUGGUGAUUGAAGUUGGAGGUCCCCAGCAUCUAUGUACUCUGUGCCAGAUGAGGAAAUUGAGGUACAGAGAGAUUUGUAACUCACCCAAGGCUACCCAGCUAGGAAGGUGCAGGCAGAGCUGAGACUCACACUUGGAGUCUGGCUCCAGGUUCUG